rnacentral:sRNA from 1 species
AGUCUAACUUGCCACACCUUGAACUUCACCACUGGAAAGCAACAAAGAGAUGGGGUUUUCGCCACGUUGCCCAGACUGGCUUCAAACUCCUGGGCUCAAGGGAUCCAACUGCCUCAGCCUCCCAAAGCUUAUGGCAGUCGGCAUAAAAAUGGGUUCUCUCAGCACAGCUAACGUUGAAUUUUGCCUUGAUGUGUUCAAAGAGCUGAACAGCAACAACAUAGGAGAUAACAUCUUCUUUUCUCCACUGAGUCUGCUUUAUGCUUUAAGCAUGGUCUUCCUUGGUGCCAGCGGAAAGACUGCAGAGCAAUUGGAGAAGGUGCUUCAUUUUAGUCAUACUGUAGACCCAUUAAAACCAGGGUUCAAGGACUCACCUAAGUGCAGCCAAGCUGGAAGAAUUCAUUCCGAGUUUGGUGUCUUAUUCUCUCAAAUCAACCAGCCAGACUCUAACUGUACCCUCAGCAUUGCCAACAGGCUCUACGGGACAAAGACGAUGGCAUUUCAUCAGCAAUAUUUAAGCUGUUCUGAGAAAUGGUAUCAAGCCAGGUUGCAAACUGUGGAUUUUGAACAGUCUACAGAAGAAACGAGGAAAACGAUUAAUGCUUGGGUUGAAAAUAAAACUAAUGGAAAAGUCACAAAUCUCUUUGGAAAGGACACAAUUGACCCUUCGUCUGUAAUGGUCCUGGUGAAUGCCAUGUAUUUCAAAGGACAAUGGCAAAAUAAAUUUCAAGAAAGAGAGACAGUUAAAAGUCCUUUUCAGCUAAGUGAGGGUAAAAAUGUAACUGUGGAAAUGAUGUAUCAAAUUGGAACAUUUAAACUGGCCUUUGUAAAGGAGCCGCAGAUGCAAGUUCUUGAGCUGCCCUAUGUUAACAACAAAUUAAGCAUGAUUAUUCUGCUUCCAGUAGGCACGGUUAAUCUGAAACAGAUAGAAAAGCAGCUGAAUUUGGGGAAGUUUCAUGAGUGGACAAGCUCUUCUAACAUGAUGGAAAGAGAAGUUGAAGUACAUCUCCCCCGAUUCAAACUUGAAAUUAAGUGCAGGGAGAAGCCUGGGAUCUAGAAGAGAGGGGUGGUGGUUUCCUCAGCCACCUGCUAUUUCUGACUCCUAAGGAGAAGCAGUAA